AGAGUUUGAUCUUGGCUCAGGACGAACGCUGGCGGCAUGCCUAAUACAUGCAAGUCGAGCGAACAGAUGAAGUGCUUGCACUUCUGACGUUAGCGGCGAACGGGUGAGUAACACGUAAGGAAUCUACCUAUAAGCGGGGGAUAACAUUCGGAAACGGGUGCUAAUACCGCAUAAUAUCUUCUUCCGCAUGGAAGAAGAUUGAAAGACGGCUCUGCUGUCACUUAUAGAUGACCUUGCGGUGCAUUAGUUAGUUGGUGGGGUAAUGGCCUACCAAGGCAAUGAUGCAUAGCCGACCUGAGAGGGUGAUCGGCCACAUUGGGACUGAGACACGGCCCAAACUCCUACGGGAGGCAGCAGUAGGGAAUCUUCCGCAAUGGGCGAAAGCCUGACGGAGCAAUGCCGCGUGAGUGAAGAAGGCCUUCGGGUCGUAAAACUCUGUUAUAAGAGAAGAACAAAUUGUAGAGUAACUGCUACAGUCUUGACGGUAUCUUAUCAGAAAGCCACGGCUAACUACGUGCCAGCAGCCGCGGUAAUACGUAGGUGGCAAGCGUUGUCCGGAUUUAUUGGGCGUAAAGGGAGCGCAGGUGGUUUCUUAAGUCUGAUGUGAAAGCCCACGGCCUAACCGUGGAGGGUCAUUGGAAACUGGGGAACUUGAGUACAGAAGAGGAAUGUGGAACUCCAUGUGUAGCGGUGGAAUGCGUAGAUAUAUGGAAGAACACCAGUGGCGAAGGCGACAUUCUGGUC
rnacentral:rRNA from 1 species